rnacentral:rRNA from 1 species
AUUGAACGCUGGCGGCAUGCUUUACACAUGCAAGUCGAACGGCAGCGGGGGCUUCGGCCUGCCGGCGAGUGGCGAACGGGUGAGUAAUGCAUCGGAACGUGCCCAGUCAUGGGGGAUAACUACGCGAAAGCGUAGCUAAUACCGCAUACGCCCUGAGGGGGAAAGUGGGGGAUCUUCGGACCUCACGUGAUUGGAGCGGCCGAUGUCAGAUUAGCUAGUUGGUGAGGUAAAGGCUCACCAAGGCGACGAUCUGUAGCGGGUCUGAGAGGAUGAUCCGCCACACUGGGACUGAGACACGGCCCAGACUCCUACGGGAGGCAGCAGUGGGGAAUUUUGGACAAUGGGCGCAAGCCUGAUCCAGCCAUGCCGCGUGCAGGAAGAAGGCGUUAUGCGUUGUAAACUGCUUUUAUACGGGAAGAAAAGCAACUGCGGUUGAAAUUGCCGGUACCGUAUGAAUAAGCACCGGCUAACUCCGUGCCAGCA